GAGUCUAUAUCUCUCGCAUUUUCUCAUUUACUUGCUAUUUCUUCCACCCUAUUCACGCUCGUACUCGUUUGAUAUGAGAAGAGGACAUGAGAAAGUAUCACCGCAGCGUAGCCUUCGUCACCACACUGCAGUUUGCGUUCGCUGUUCUCCGUUUGCCGUUCACUGUCCCCCUCGUCGUCCUUCUCUUCCCCUCUUUUACGAGUAUGAACCCUAAUCUAUUCUGUUCAGAAAAAAGGAGCUGCACCCUAUCCACCAAGCUAUUUCUUCAAACUUCUAUUCUAGAUUAUUCGAAUUUUGUUAGCACAGACACCACCACAAGCAAAGAGGAAUGAGUGUUCUUCCCUUUCUCCUGUUUGAAUUGGCCGAAUGGCCUUGAGGAUGUGACCAAAAUUCUGGUUUCUUGUAAUUGCUAGGGUUCAGAUUCAGGAGAGAAGCAGGAGCAAAAUUUUGUGUUUUUGAUUCACAACAAAAGGGUGGUCCAAGUUUUAAAACUCCUAUGUGUAUUUUGCGGCUGUAAUUAGUAGAAUCAACAAAUCAGGAACUAAAUCAAAGGAUUCCAAUGUUCAAACUUCCCACCAAGAUCUUUUGUCGUGUCGUUAACGUCCAUUUGCUGCUGCAGGGGGAGAAAGAAAGGGGGGUUGAGAAGAAAUGAAAAUUCCUGAGAGAAAUGGUUAAACAAUAAUUUGUUCUCUUGUUUCGCUAUGUCCUGAAAGGGGGGAAAAUUAAGCCUAUAUUAUGUUCAGAAGGAGAAGUUCUGUAACUAUGGUUGUGUGAAACGGUUUUUGAAAGCCAAGGAUGAUAAUGUGAAAAAGGCAGCAAAGCAACUCAGGGCAUGCCUUUCAUGGAGAGACACCAUUGUCACUGAAUAUUUGAUAGCUGAUGAUUUCUCAGCUGAACUAGCUGAUGGACUGACCUAUGUAGCUGGUCAUGACGAAUAAUCCAGACCUAUUUUAAUGGAGCUAGCGAGAAAAUUUUUUAAGGAUGGAAGGGAUGUUGAUUUAGAAGGAUCAUUUUGUCAAAAGAGAAGAUGAUGGCCAUAACUUUCAAAUAUAUAGGUUUCUGAAGAUUGAACUUUGGAAUUCUAUGUAUUCACACUGCAUAUAACAAUGACAGAGAGAGCAUUGCCUUCCCUUUUCUGUUUUACAGAUCCAACUUACAUGAAUCGAGCCAUUCUAAGAAGAGAUUCGAGCCAUUCUAAGCAAUGCUUCUGAUAAUGUGUACUGCAUACUUCUCGCUCAAAGUAUUGUUCAUGGAGCAAUGGCAGAUUACACUAGCCAUACAAGUGGACUUGUCAAUGUAAGACAAACUUAUAUACCCUUCUAUAGAGUCAAUGAAAACUGAAAUCAUGUAGUGAUAACUGAUAGAAUGUGGGCUAGGUUGUUAUCUUCGACAAAUCAACUUAGCUUUUUGGGCAACAAGUGUUACAAUGAAGAUAACAUCGAAGAAGAAGAACCAAUAAACCAGCUGCUACAUGGAGAAUUUUCAGAUGACACCUUGGUUAAGAAAGAAAUUAGCAGCAUUUAACAAUAUGCUUCCUAAAUGUUAUUGUCAUUCCUUCAUACCCCUUCACUAUGCUAUAUGCAUUUAAUUUUUAGUAGUAUAUAUGAGCUUUUUUCUUCUCUCUUUUUUUGGGCCCCUCCACUCCAUAAAAUGGCUGGGAAAAAAUUAGCCUCGCAUUGUUACUAUUUUUGUAAAACUUGUAGGAUUGAAUUUGGAUUUGUUGAAAUACAAUGUUAUUUUUCGAGAAUUCAACGUUUGAUAAUAGAAAUCUUUGAUGUUGGAGAGUU